AUUGAACGCUGGCGGCAUGCCUUACACAUGCAAGUCGAACGGUAACAGGUCUUCGGAUGCUGACGAGUGGCGAACGGGUGAGUAAUACAUCGGAACGUGCCCGAACGUGGGGGAUAACGAGGCGAAAGCUUUGCUAAUACCGCAUACGAUCUACGGAUGAAAGCGGGGGAUCUUCGGACCUCGCGCGGACGGAGCGGCCGAUGGCAGAUUAGGUAGUUGGUGGGAUAAAGGCUUACCAAGCCGACGAUCUGUAGCUGGUCUGAGAGGAUGAUCAGCCACACUGGGACUGAGACACGGCCCAGACUCCUACGGGAGGCAGCAGUGGGGAAUUUUGGACAAUGGGCGAAAGCCUGAUCCAGCCAUGCCGCGUGCAGGAUGAAGGCCUUCGGGUUGUAAACUGCUUUUGUACGGAACGAAAAGCCUCUUUCUAAUAAAGAGGGGUCAUGACGGUACCGUAAGAAUAAGCACCGGCUAACUACGUG
rnacentral:rRNA from 1 species